GUGAGGAAUCUUCCACAAUGGGCGAAAGCCUGAUGGAGCAACGCCGCGUGAAGGAUGAAGGUCUUCGGAUUGUAAACUUCUUUUAUGAGUGAAGAAUAUGACGGUAACUCAUGAAUAAGCACCGGCUAACUACGUGCCAGCAGCCGCGGUCAUACGUAGGGUGCAAGCAUUAUCCGGAGUGACUGGGCGUAAAGAGUUGCGUAGGCGGUUAUGUAAGAGAAUAGUGAAACCUGGUGGCUCAACCACACAGACUAUUAUUCGAACUGCAUAACUUGAGAAUGGUAGAGGUAACGGGAAUUUCUUGUGUAGGAGUGAAAUCCGUAGAUAUAAGAAGGAACACCAAUGGCGUAGGCAGGUUACUGGGCCAUUUCUGACGCUAAGGCACGAAAGCGUGGGGAGCGAACCGGAUUAAAUACCCGAGUAGUCC
rnacentral:rRNA from 1 species